UACAGAGGGUGCAAGCGUUGUUCGGAAUUAUUGGGCGUAAAGCGCGUGUAGGCGGCUUUGCAAGUCGGGUGUGAAAGCCCCGGGCUCAACCUGGGAAUGGCAGUGGAAACUAGGGGACUGGAAUCUGGCAGAGGGGGGUGGAAUGCCGCGUGUAGCAGUGAAAUGCGUAGAGAUGCGGCGGAACACCGGUGGCGAAGGCAGCCCCCUGGGCUGAGAUUGACGCUCAGGCACGAAAGCGUGGGGAGCAAACAGG
rnacentral:rRNA from 1 species